GCCGGAGUGGCGGAAUUGGUAGACGCAAGGGACUUAAAAUCCCUCGUCAGCAAUGAUGUACCGGUUCGAGUCCGGUCUCCGGCACCA
rnacentral:tRNA from 1 species